UGACCAGUGUCAUGUGAUUUCUGACUUUGUGCAGCUGGCAACAAUUGUGGAGCAGAAAGGAAGAUUAAUAUCAUCAGAGACAGAACAUUGGAUUGGUGAUGGUGAUGGUGGUGCCUGACACCGAUGAAGCUAAAAGGACAGUUUCUUCGCCUACUGUCAGGCCACUACAUUUAUCACCUGUAGCCUCCUGCCAGGGACCACCCAGAGCUGUCUCUUUUGGUAACCUAACGCAGGAAUGCAGCUAAUUCUGAAGCCAUAAACUAAACCACAAAAUAUAGGUUAUAUUCAGCUUAUAACUUUCUA